AAAGAUUAAGCCAUGCAUGUCUAAGUAUAAGCAAUUAUACAGCGAAACUGCGAAUGGCUCAUUAUAUAAGUUAUCGUUUAUUUGAUAGUACCUUACUACUUGGAUAACCGUGGUAAUUCUAGAGCUAAUACAUGCUGAAAAUCCCGACUUUGGAAGGGAUGUAUUUAUUAGAUUCAAAACCAAUGCCCCCUGGGCUCCUUGGUGAUUCAUGAUAACUUUUCGAAUCGCACGGCCUUGCGCCGGCGAUGGUUCAUUCAAAUUUCUUCCCUAUCAACUUUCGAUGUUUGGGUAUUGGCCAAACAUGGUCGCAACGGGUAACGGAGGGUUAGGGCUCGACCCCGGAGAAGGAGCCUGAGAAACGGCUACUACAUCCAAGGAAGGCAGCAGGCGCGCAAAUUACCCAAUCCCGAUUCGGGGAGGUAGUGACAAUAAAUACUGAUACAGGGCUCUUUUGGGUCUUGUAAUUGGAAUGAGUACAAUUUAAAUCCCUUAACGAGGAACAAUUGGAGGGCAAGUCUGGUGCCAGCAGCCGCGGUAAUUCCAGCUCCAAUAGCGUAUAUUAAAGUUGUUGUGGUUAAAAAGCUCGUAGUUGAACCUUGGGCCUGGCUGGCCGGUCCGCCUCACCGCGUGUACUGGUCCGGCCGGGCCUUUCCCUCUGUGGAACCUCAUGCCCUUCACUGGGUGUGGCGGGGAAACAGGACGUUUACUUUGAAAAAAUUAGAGUGCUCCAGGCAGGCCUAUGCUCGAAUACAUUAGCAUGGAAUAAUGAAAUAGGACGUGUGGUUCUAUUUUGUUGGUUUCUAGGACCGCCGUAAUGAUUAAUAGGGACAGUCGGGGGCAUCAGUAUUCAAUUGUCAGAGGUGAAAUUCUUAGAUUUAUUGAAGACUAACUACUGCGAAAGCAUUUGCCAAGGAUGUUUUCAUUAAUCAGGAACGAAAGUUAGGGGAUCGAAGACGAUCAGAUACCGUCGUAGUCUUAACCAUAAACUAUGCCGACUAGGGAUCGGACGAUGUUAUUUUUUGACGCGUUCGGCACCUUACGAGAAAUCAAAGUGCUUGGGCUCCAGGGGGAGUAUGGUCGCAAGGCUGAAA
rnacentral:rRNA from 1 species